UCCACUCCCCAGCCCUCUUUAACUUCUAAUUCUCCGUCACGUUCUCUCUCUAAAAUUUGGGUGAGGAUGGUGUAGUAGUGGCAGCUUGUGGGCUGAUGUUGUGAGGCCUAUCCGAGCAUAGGGACCAGCUGAGAAAGAGCUGGAGCUCAAGCUUUUGAAUAGUUAAAAUGAUAGGUGUAUGCAUAGAAAUUUCAGAAUAAGCUGAAAUAAGGAGAGGAAGCAUGCAACUGUUAGUGUUGGAGCGUUUGUUGAUCCGAACUGAAAGGAUGGCAGCAGGUGCAGAAAUUCUUGUGGCUAGAGUAUAUAAUUAAGAUUUGGACUCCGAACUAAUUGGAGCUGUCGAGUUGGAGAUUUAGCUGAAAGAAAUAAUUUGGAGCUGAGAAAUCUCUUGAGGAAGCUUCAAGUCCAGAUAUUCAAGUAGAAGGGUUGAGGAAGUUGCGUUGGUGAAUCUGGCGCCCACCUUGAAGAGGAUUGGUGGAACACUUGGGUAAUCCGAGCUGAGAAGAAAAUCUGGAGUAAUUCCAGCAGAGGAAAUCUAAAAAUUAGAGUUAGACAUGCUCGGAAGUCCAAAUUGACAUUCAGACAGAUUUGUGUAGCACUAAUUACGGUAGAAGCCGUUCUAGCCCUACUUGCGCCGAGUCGCAGGAGCUUGUUAUUGAUAUAGUUCGAGACGUUGGUUUCCGUUUAUUGGCAUCCCUACAGGUGGGUGGUGCUAUCCGAAAUCUUCGAAUCCCUCUUUAUGUCUAUGUCAUCUCAUUGAGCAUAUCUAUAUAUGUGAAUUGUAUCAUAUUCAUGCAUUAUAGGGAAAUCGUCAUUAUGCAAUUGAAUUUCUAUCAAGGUAAAGAACAUGUGGACAAUAGAAUAUGGACAUAGAACCCUAUGAAUGUGUGAAUGAGUAAAGGACUAUGACAAUAGUAAACUUGGUGACAUUAUGACUAGAGAUUUAGUUAUCAUCGACAUUUGAAUUAUAAAACUAGCAUAAAGAGCUAGUUAGAGUUAAAGUGUAGUAUUGUCUUUCAUUGGAUCUUCUAAAGGAAGAUCAGAUCAUACUCACAUCAGUUUUAUAUUCAAGAAAGGUCGAUCCUCCUUGAACGAUGAGCUCCAGAGUAGUCAUCUUAACUGGACCAGGAGCUAGCGUCUCCCCCAGUUGACAGUCCCGUCGGGAUGUAGCUUACCUCUCCUCGAUACUUGGGAUAUCGUCGGUGAGUUAUUGUUAACCAAAGGGUUAACCAGUUUGAUUGGGUAACAUCAUUAGAAGCAUGCAUGCAUAUUUAUCAGUUAUCAUAUAUUGUUUCUUUCAGCUUUGUACAGGCAUUGUAGUAGUUACAUGUUAUAGUUGGUUACUAUCUGUU